AUUGAACGCUGGCGGCAUGCUUUACACAUGCAAGUCGGACGGCAGCACAGAGAAGCUUGCUUCUUGGGUGGCGAGUGGCGAACGGGUGAGUAACAUAUCGGAACGUACCGAGCAGUGGGGGAUAACUAAUCGAAAGAUUAGCUAAUACCGCAUAUAUUCUGAGGAAGAAAGCAGGGGACCAUUUGGCCUUGCGCUGUUUGAGCGGCCGAUAUCUGAUUAGCUAGUUGGUGGGGUAAAGGCCUACCAAGGCGACGAUCAGUAGCGGGUCUGAGAGGAUGAUCCGCCACACUGGGACUGAGACACGGCCCAGACUCCUACGGGAGGCAGCAGUGGGGAAUUUUGGACAAUGGGCGCAAGCCUGAUCCAGCCAUGCCGCGUGUCUGAAGAAGGCCUUCGGGUUGUAAAGGACUUUUGUCAGGAAAGAAAAAGGCGGGGUUAAUACCCCUGUCUGAUGACGUACCUGAAGAAUAAGCACC
rnacentral:rRNA from 1 species